GACGAACGCUGGCGGCGUGCUUAACACAUGCAAGUCGAACGGAAAGGCCCUGCUUUUGUGGGGUGCUCGAGUGGCGAACGGGUGAGUAACACGUGAGUAACCUGCCCUUGACUUUGGGAUAACUUCAGGAAACUGGGGCUAAUACCGGAUAGGAGCUCCUGCUGCAUGGUGGGGGUUGGAAAGUUUCGGCGGUUGGGGCUGGACUCGCGGCUUAUCAGCUUGUUGGUGGGGUAGUGGCUUACCAAGGCUUUGACGGGUAGGCGGCCUGAGAGGGUGACCGGCCACAUUGGGACUGAGAUACGGCCCAGACUCCUACGGGAGGCAGCAGUGGGGAAUAUUGCACAAUGGGCGGAAGCCUGAUGCAGCAACGUCGCGUGCGGGAUGACGGCCUUCGGGUUGUAAACCGCUUUCGCCUGUGACGAAGCGUGAGUGACGGUAAUGGGUAAAGAAGCACCGGCUAACUACGUG
rnacentral:rRNA from 1 species